rnacentral:rRNA from 1 species
AUGGUGAAGAUUGUCAAGGACAUAGCCAAUACCUAUAAGGAGUCUGUCGUAGCCAACACUAAGCAAAUGCAGAAACGUGCAAAUGAGAAGGUUGCAUAUUCUGUGAAGAGGUGUCAGGAGCUAGCAUUUGAGUGUGGCGUUGAGCAAACAGUUGACUCUGUCUAUGCUAUGUCUAAGAUGUUCGAAACAGAGUACCAAAGGGAGUUCUUUUGUGGCCUGUUAACUCCUGAGCUUAGGUUGGGUUACUUCAAGAAAUGA